CGACCACAGUACAAAGUUUCUGAACCGAGACAACCCGCAAUAUAAUGCCACCCUCGGAGCCAAAGGUCUAUGUGGAGACGAGAGGCUGCGGUUACUUCAGGGUAAUUCCAGGGAACAUCGCUUUUGAUUUCAGGUAUCAAAGCUUGAAGUCACCAUUAUAGUGACAUUCGGCUGCAAAGGGUUCACUAUUGUGCGGGCAAUUAAGUAUCAAGGUACAUGAUGCGGCUCAUGAACACCAGUAUUAAUAUUAGUCCGAUUGGCUGGCACGACUUCAGGACUACCCCUAUCCUCUGCGGUCUCUGCAAAUUCAAGGGAAUUUCGAUGAAGCACCUGGACAGAAAAUCAG